GAUGAACGCUGGCGGCGUGCUUAACACAUGCAAGUCGAACGGAAAGGCUCCUGCUUGCAGGGGUACUCGAGUGGCGAACGGGUGAGUAACACGUGGGUGAUCUGCCCUGCACUUCGGGAUAAGCCUGGGAAACUGGGUCUAAUACCGGAUAGGACGAUGGUUUGGAUGCCAUUGUGGAAAGUUUUUUCGGUGUGGGAUGAGCUCGCGGCCUAUCAGCUUGUUGGUGGGGUAAUGGCCUACCAAGGCGUCGACGCGUAGCCGGCCUGAGAGGGUGUACGGCCACAUUGGGACUGAGAUACGGCCCAGACUCCUACGGGAGGCAGCAGUGGGGAAUAUUGCACAAUGGGCGCAAGCCUGAUGCAGCGACGCCGCGUGGGGGAUGACGGCCUUCGGGUUGUAAACUCCUUUCGCUAGGGACGAAGCGCAAGUGACGGUACCUGGAGAAGAAGCACCGGCUAACUACGUG
rnacentral:rRNA from 1 species